GGCCGAACUACCCUUUUAGAUAAUUUAGAUAAUUUUCAGUCUAUUACUAAUCCUUUGUGUAUCUUGGUAUUCUUAACCAUCCACUCAUUUUUGCUUAAUCACCUGUUAGAAUUAUGGUAAUACAUAUAAAUGAUAGUGAAAACUCAAGAAAU